CUAGGUGCAGCCCCCUCCCCUAUCCUAAGGGUUUGACUGCCUGUACUCCAAGCCAGCUUUCAUGGGUUGCAGCUGUGUAACAUUGGUUCAGAGUGCUGUGAGAAGAGAACGCUGAAGCCUUUGGGGACCUCCCCCUUUUCCUUGGGAGCUGCUUUUAAGCUCCAUCUUGGUGUACUUGCUUGAGUUUUGUUGCCUGUGUUGGCCCACUUAUCUUGCUGGUCCUGAUCUUGACUCUAUUUUGAAACUUGCAUGCAGACCUGCGGCAUUGCUACAGGUAUGGGUGGCAGUCACUGGAGCGUGCUUCACCUUGGCUGCUGUUUCUGACCAGCUCUGCUCUUUUUGCUCAGCCAAAAUCCUUUCUCAUUGCUGUGAAUCCUAGUGCUACAGAAAGAGGUCACUCACUGAACUUCACUGCCUUCUCUGUGAGUGAGCACUGCACCCAAAUAAGGGAUUUCAAGACUCUCUGUCCUGUAGAGUGCUUGUAUAUUGAAGCCCUGCUUGUCUGAUUGUGGUUUGCUAGAGAAAAGAGCUGUAAAACAACCAAAAAAGCCCAACAACCCACAACCCAGCAACUAUUACAGUGAAAAUUACCAGACCAGACUACAUGGGAAAAAUAUGCAGUAUAAGCUAAGUAAUAUUACACGGACAAGAUUAGCUGAGGCAGAUAUGGGAUUGCAUUGUCAGACUAAUCUUCCAAGAAUACAGUUUUACUUGCUCCAACUAGAAAUGCCAUUCCUGAGCCAUUAUGGAUCUUCUCGUCCUGGUACUGCACCACAUCUGGAUUCCUUCCACUUUUGGAUUGGAUGAGGUCUCUGACUUGGGAAUUCAGCAGCAGCCACUUUAUUUUUCUUCUAAACUUUAUUGAAUAUGCUGUCAAUUUGUUUGCAGGAGAUUGCAGAACUGUGGAGAAACCUUGCUGCGGGUUGUUUUGAGAGCAGCCCCCUCCAGUUCAUAUCAGAAAUGCAGCACUCCUACAUGGUGUCCUCUCCCUACAGCAGCAGAAGGAAGCAGGAGCAAAUGUUAUUAAGAUUAGUGGGAAACAGCCAGACCACAAGGCUUAUAAGCCACUUUACUUCAUCCACAAGAUAAUACAUGAAAAACACCAUCACCUCUAAGCAGCGUUCACUUCAGAGAUACUUUUCUUCAGCCUAAAAGCAGCACUCUGGCCACAUCAGUGACAAAACAGACAUCAGGCAACUAGCAGGUAUCCAUUAGAGUCACAUCUGGUGAUGUAGUCUCUUCCAUACCAACUCCAGUGCAGGCCACGGCAGGACAGAGUCCAGAUUCUGAGAACCAUCUGAACAGCAUUUUUAAGUGAGAACCUGCAAAGAAAAUCACACCCUUGAGCAGCUUCUGGAUUCCUUAGAAUCAUCAUCUCUGCUAUCCUCAACUUGAUUUAAUUUGGAUCCAGCAGAGCAUGAUGGAUUUUGCUACUGGCACCUUGGAUGCAGUGUAAAUUAUUUAGAGACAAAUCUUGAAUUCUCCUGUAGAUUAAGAUGAGACACAGUUUAGUGUUAGAAGAGGCAUUAGAUCAGACAUUUGAGGAGCUUCAAGGGCUUCAAACAGGCUUCUUGAGUUCAAGCAAAUCCCCAGUCUGGAGCUCCAGGCAUCUGCAGCGGUCCUGCUGCAUAUUAGCAAGCUUAGCUCAGGUCAUCCGAGUAACAUGAGAGUGUAUAAGGGCCAGGAAAGUAGAAAAGCUCUACAGAAUGCCCAGGGAAAUGGAAUAGUGCAACAUGAACUCACUGAAGCUGAAUUACAGUUGAUUCAAGAAAGCUCCAGAUGUCAGAAAAACAUUGAUGACACACUUCGAUUUCUUUCUUGGCGUUUGCAGUAUGUGCUGUGGUGCAGAGGAUUCCAGUUGCCAUAAUAUUCAGUGGAAAGAAUAAUUAUCACAGGGAACUAAUAUGACGACAUUUAACACUGCAGUUAAAGGGGGGAUGUUCUUGAAGCCCUGGAUAAUUAAUGACAGAGCAGGAUGCAGCCCCAGUGGAACAAGUGGCUGGACCAGCUCCUGGCUGCUUCCCUGUGAUGUGACACAGCGGGGUACAUGCCGCUCUGCUCCUGUCUCAUUGUCAAAGAUCACCUCCUCCAAUGGUCCGCCUUGAUGAGCAGGAAAUCAAGGAAAGGCAGCAGGAAGCCUGCAUGGAUGAACAAGUUGCUCCUGACUAAGCUCAGCAAUAAAGGGAAUGCAUACAAGACACAGGAGCAGAGACAGGUGACCCAGGAGGAAAACAGAGGCACUGGCCAAGCUUGCAGGCAUAGGCCUUGGAAUGCCAAAGCCCACCAAGAAUUGAAUCUGAGCAGGUUUAUGAAGGGCAAUGAGAAAUGCUUCCACACGUACCUCAGCAGGAAAAGGAGGACCAGGGAAAAUGUGAGCAGACUGCUGAAUAUGGCCAGGAUCCCAGUGGCAAAGGAUACAGGAAAAACCUGCUGUACUCAAUGCCCUCUUUGCGUCAGUCCUUACAGGUAAGAUCAGCCUUCGGGAAUCCCAUAUUCCUGAGACACAUUUCCUGGGAAAGUAUGAAGCAGGGAAGAGGAACCCUUGGUGGAAGAGUAUCAGGUUAGGGAGCAUUUAAACAAACUGGACAUACAGAAGCCCAUGCGACCUGACAGGCUGUGCCCACAAGUGCCAAGGGAGCUGGCUGGUAUCAUCGCAAAGCCACUGUCCUUUAUCAUUGAAAGGCUGGGGCGAUCAGUUUCCUGAAGAUUGGAAGAAAGCAAACAUCAUUUGUCUCUUUGAUAAAGAAGAUCAAGGGAACUACAGGCCUCAUCACAAUCCAUGAGAAGAAUACAUCUUUGGACAGCCCAGAGAAUCAGACGGAGCCUGAGGAUGCCUCUAUUUCAUUGCUAUCCCAUGGAAGGAGGAUUGGCUGAGUCUACUUUAAGAUCAUGGCCCCACCUGUGUGCUGGCUCCUCAUUUCCUUGGCUGCUUCCCUGACACCAGUCUAUACGUGCAGAAACAGGAAUUGUCUGUCUCAGAAGAGAAGGGGCAGAGUCAUCUUUAUGAAGUUGAGAAAUGCAGAAGAUUUCACAAUUUAGCACCACGGUCUUCCACUUCCAAGAAUUCUCUUUUGACAUUGCAUUGGGGU